rnacentral:lncRNA from 1 species
CCUUCAAGUUUCCAGCUUUUUGCAUGACUGAUACUACUUCAAAAUAGUUUUUUUUUUCUUUUUUUGCUCAAGGAGCUUCCAGUUCUCGAAAGACAACAGCUCUGGAAGAUCAGUGCAGAAUGAGAGUUGAGGGACUGUGAGAACUGCACAGGAAUUAAUCUUAGUCAUGAAAACAUAUGGAUGUGAGGAAGAGCCCAGGGAGAGGUGAAGAGAGCAAGACAAAUCUGAUGAGCAGAGGAACUGUGAGAGCGGGCAAGGAGAAUGAAAGAUAGCACACAGACAGUUUGAGAACGAGACAAGUCUAAUUAGAUACAGCCCUAUGUCAUCAAACUAGCAACACAGAGCACACUGCAGCAGUAUAAAUUGGCAUGAGCUGUGAAGAGUUUAAAUGGAGAAAGAUCUGGAAUGGGAAAAACUAGACAGAAUACCUGAAGGACAACUGUGAAACUAGAAUUCCAGCACCAAAUAAAAUACCAGCUUCCUAAGAAAAAAAGCA